ACGUUGUCAGUUUGAAGACGGCGACGAUGAAAUGUUCCGACGCUGGUGGAUGUGGCUGCGGCCGAUUAGGUAGAUGGUGGGGUAACGGCCCACCAUGCCGAUAAUCGGUACGGGUUGUGAGAGCAAGAGCCCGGAGACGGAAUCUGAGACAAGAUUCCGGGCCCUACGGGGCGCAGCAGGCGCGAAACCUUUACACUGCACGCCAGUACGAUAAGGGAACCCCGAGUGAAAGGGCAUAUCGCCCUUUCUUUUCUGAACCGUAGGGAGGUUCAGGAACAAGAGCUGGGCAAGACCGGUGCCAGCCGCCGCGGUAAUACCGGCAGCUCAAGUGAUGACCGAUUUUAUUGGGCCUAAAGCGUCCGUAGCUGGCCAUGCAAGUCCGUCGGGAAAUCCACCCGCUUAACGGGUGGGCGUCCGGCGGAAACUGCACGGCUUGGGACAGGAAGGCUCGAGGGGUACGUUCGGGGUAGGAGUGAAAUCCCGUAAUCCUGAACGGACCACCGAUGGCGAAAGCACCUCGAGAGGACUGAUCCGACAGUGAGGGACGAAAGCUGGGGUCUCGAACCGGAUUAGAUACCCGGGUAGUCCCAGCUGUAAACGAUGUUCGCUAGGUGUGUCACUCACUACGAGUGAGUGAUGUGCCGCAGGGAAGCCGCUAAGCGAACCGCCUGGGAAGUACGUCUGCAAGGAUGAAACUUAA
rnacentral:rRNA from 1 species